rnacentral:rRNA from 1 species
UUUGUCGCGUCUGCUGUGAAAUCCCGAGGCUCAACCUCGGGCCUGCAGUGGGUACGGGCAGACUAGAGUGCGGUAGGGGAGAUUGGAAUUCCUGGUGUAGCGGUGGAAUGCGCAGAUAUCAGGAGGAACACCGAUGGCGAAGGCAGAUCUCUGGGCCGUAACUGACGCUGAGGAGCGAAAGGGUGGGGAGCAAACAGGCUUAGAUACCCUGGUAGUCCACCCCGUAAACGUUGGGAACUAGUUGUGGGGACCAUUCCACGGUUUCCGUGACGCAGCUAACGCAUUAAGUUCCCCGCCUGGGGAGUACGGCCGCAAGGCUAAAACUCAAAGGAAUUGACGGGGACCCGCACAAGCGGCGGAGCAUGCGGAUUAAUUCGAUGCAACGCGAAGAACCUUACCAAGGCUUGACAUAUACGAGAACGGGCCAGAAAUGGUCAACUCUUUGGACACUCGUAAACAGGUGGUGCAUGGUUGUCGUCAGCUCGUGUCGUGAGAUGUUGGGUUAAGUCCCGCAACGAGCGCAACCCUCGUUCUAUGUUGCCAGCACGUAAUGGUGGGAACUCAUGGGAUACUGCCGGGGUCAACUCGGAGGAAGGUGGGGAUGACGUCAAAUCAUCAUGCCCCUUAUGUCUUGGGCUUCACGCAUGCUACAAUGGCCGGUACAAAGGGCUGCAAUACCGUGAGGUGGAGCGAAUCCCAAAAAGCCGGUCCCAGUUCGGAUUGAGGUCUGCAACUCGACCUCAUGAAGUCGGAGUCGCUAGUAAUCGCAGAUCAGCAACG